GACAUCAUAUCUGGACCUGGAUCUU
rnacentral:piRNA from 1 species